AGGUUACUCUCAUUUGCACCAUUAAGUUCAAGGCCGUGUUUUGACUCCUUCGCCCAUGGAGGAGAUAAUUCAUCAGUAUGCUGUGCCUAUUGGUGUAUUCACCAUUGUGAUUGCCGUCACUUUGCUUGUGUUUGUAGUCAGGAAAACACGUGCAUGGAUUUUUAAGAAAAGGGAGAAAAGAAACAUACAAGUGAAGAAAGGGGCAGUUUUAGAGAUGGCUAAAGCGUUUGACCAGGCAAGCAUUGAUACAUCGCCAGUCAUCACAGGGCGACUACAGGCGGUGAAGCAACGCACGUUGAACAAGAACUUGAUGUAAAAUCAGGCACGAAUCAGGAAAUAAUAUACAUGACUUGACAUGUGGAGGUGUGUUGGAGAUGGACAGUAUCAUGAAGUCACCGGUGCUCAAUGGUUAAAAACGUUGAGAUGCCUAUCAACGAUGGCCUCUGUAGCAUCCUGAUGGUAAGGAACAGACAAUGUGCAUAAUAAAGUUUAUGAACACCCCA